GUGGUGGCACAGGUGACACCUGGAGUGGCACAGGUGACACCUGCAGUGACACAGGUGACACCUGGAGUGGCACUGGGGACACCUGCAAUGGCACAGGUGACACCUGGAAUGGCACAGGUGACAUCGGCACUGCCAGCACAGGUGAGGGUGGUGGCACAGGUGACACCUGGAGUGGCACAGGUGACACCUGCAGUGGCAUUUGGGACACCUGCAAUGGCACGGGUGACACCUGGAGUGGCACAGGUGACAUCAUCAGGUGCACAGGUGACAGCUGUAAUGGCACAGGUGACAUCUGCAAUGGCACAGGUGACAUCAUCAGGUGCACAGGUGACACCUGCAAUGGCACAAGUUGCACCUGGAAUGGCACAGGUGACAUCGUCACUGCCAGCACAGGUGAAGGUGGUGGCAUAGGUGACACCUGGAGUGGCACACAUCACAUCAUAACCUGCAAAAGUGACACCUGUGCCACUCCAGGUGACAUCACCGCUGCAGGUGACGCCUGUGACAUCACAGGUGACAUCACUACCGCAGGUGACACCAGUUCCA